GUGGGGAAUCUUCCGCAAUGGACGAAAGUCUGACGGAGCGACGCCGCGUGAGUGAUGAAGGCCUUCGGGUCGUAAAGCUCUGUCAUCGGGGACGAACGGCCUCAGCAGGUAAUGGCUGGGGAUUGACGGUACCCGAGAAGGAAGCCACGGCUAACUACGUGCCAGCAGCCGCGGUAAUACGUAGGUGGCAAGCGUUGUCCGGAAUUAUUGGGCGUAAAGCGCGCGCAGGUGGGAUCUUAAGUCCAUUUUGAAAGUUCGGAGCUCAACUCCGUGAUGGGAUGGAAACUGGGAUUCUUGAGUACCGGAGAGGAAAGCGGAAUUCCCCGUGUAGCGGUGAAAUGCGUAGAUAUGGGGAGGAACACCAGUGGCGAAGGCGGCUUUCUGGACGGUGUCUGACACUGAGGCGCGAAAGCCAGGGGAGCGAACGGGAUUAGAUACCCUAGUAGUCC
rnacentral:rRNA from 1 species